rnacentral:lncRNA from 13 species
CUGACACCAUCCCUGGGAGCCACCACGAUCCUUUAGUGGAUAUAGGGGAAUCUGGGGAGGGAAAAGGGAUUCUCAGGGCUCUCCCCCGUGGAUCCAGACCCGGAGCAUCCCAUUCACAAACUGAUCCCAAGGCAUUCCCAGAUCCUACAAAACAUCCCAGAGCUGCUCUGAGCCUUUGUUUUUGGGGUCGUGGGGUCACGGGAUGACCGGGACAGGGCGAGAGGGGACACGGAUCCCACAAGGAUCCCUUUUUUUUGCCGGAGGGAGGGUGGGAAGAGGCUCCACGACCUUUCCUGCACCCCAAAACCAAUCCCGGAGGACUCGACAUUCCCGGGAGCGCUGCUGAAUCCUUGGAAUGGGUAAAAAAAAAAAGCCCGGCCAAGCCCUUUAAUCCCUGUUAUCCCUGGAUUUUUGGGGGGGGUUUAGCCACAAAAAAGAGGGAUUUUGGUGGCUCCUGGCGCUGCAUCCAAAAUCUGGGAAUGGAUUUCACGCCCGGUGUGAGCAAAUCAUCUCCGAGGCGUAAAAAAAAGCAGGGGGAAAAAACAGGGAGGAAAAAAAAAGGAUGGAAUGUGAGUGGAAAAUCCUUCGGAAAUUCACUUUAUUCCUUUGUUUUGAUAAUUGCAGAUCGCGUUUAAUUAUUUAUGGCGCGUUUUGUAAGGUGCCAGGAAUUCCUGCGGGAAUCUCCUUCCUCUCGCUGGCUCCCCGUGACACCUCAGAGGGAAAAAAAGGGGAUUUUUAGGGGGAGAAGAGAAAGGAGGAGGCCAAGAGCGGCUCCUUUGGUUUUCCAGGGAGAACUGAGCUGUCCGAGCCCCUCCUUGGGAUUUUCGCGGCGCCGAGGGAAGGGGAAGACCGGAAUUCCCAGCUGGAAUCAAAGCCAGGCUUUGAUCUCUGCCUCACCUCAGGCUCGGGACCUACCCUGGGAGCGCCCGGGCUCCCCAAAAUUCGGAUGGAAGGGAGGAGCGGCUUCGUUCCCAUCCCGGCAGCGAUCCCAAUAAAACCCCGGCGUGCCGUGGCAGCAUUCCCUGCCAAUUCCCCGCGAGACGGGAAUUCGGGAAUUCAUCCCCCGCCCUCCGGCUCUGCGCUCGCCAGGCAGGGAACCCACCUCGCCGAGGGGAGGGAACCCACAGGUGGUUGUUUCACCCCCCAUGGUGGGAUUUGGGAUUGGGAUUUGGGAUUGGGAUUGGGAUCGCAAGCCCGGGAUGGACCAAGGGAUGCUCGGGAAGGGCGGCGCAGUUGGAGCCCCUGGGGAAGGCUGGGACAGCGGUUGGGCAGCUGGAAAUCCCUGGAUUUCUCUCUAGGGCAGGGUUAUCCCCACGUAUCCAAAAAAAUGGGGAUAAUUGAGGAGAUUCCAGGCAAAGCUGGAGCUGGCCAUGGCAGAGCCACAAGGUCACUCCAGGUCUGCAGGAUCCACGUGCUUUAGAUCCCCUAAUUCCGUGGGAAUUUGGGCUCUGGAAUGUUCAUGGCCUGUGGUAUCCAGCUGGUCCCUGCACAUCCCUUUCCUCCCUCUGGAUUCCCCUCUCUGUGUUCAUCCCCUGCCUUCCCCAUGAAGGAUCCACACUGGGAUCCUCCAAAACCCCAUCCCAGAUCCCCAUCCCUCCCAUUCCCCCCAAAAUCUGCCAGAUCACUCCAAUCCCAGCUGAGUGCAGGAUCCAAACCUCCAUCUUUGAGCCCUCGGUCCCAUUCCAGCUCUAAAUAUCCCAUUAAAAAUCCCACAAAGCCCAGAGCAGACGCCACAACCACUUUUCCAACCCCAUUUUUUGGGAUUGCGGCUCGGAGUUGCAGCAUCCCUAUUAAAUUAAAGGUAAUUAAAUCAAUUAAUGAGACCGUGAGGUU